rnacentral:misc_RNA from 1 species
GCUCUUCUUUCUCAGGAUCAUAAAUCUUGAAGAAUAGCAUAAUAUCGUCUUUAGUCUUGUCAGGUGGAGGGAUGUGUCUCAAGUCCAGUCCAAGCUCCACUUCCAAGAACAAUUUUAGCUCUGCAUUCUGAACCUUACUUGACGCUUCCCUCAACUGUCCAACAGUUUGAGCUUCUUCGAGAUGUGUUAAUGGCCGAUUUGGACGAUAUGUAUGAUUCUGGCGCUUUGCCCAUAGCCAAAAACGUUGAGAUUGCACUGGUACACCAAAUUCUUUGGCAACUUCCUCCUUAAAAAUGCUAAAAAGUGUCUGCUUCUGAAUGCGAAAACUCCUAACUUUGUCAUAAUCCACUAAAUCAAAAUGUAUGUCCUUCCCAAUCUGCUGUCUGAGGUCUUCAUCACGAGAAACCUUUAUAAUUGUGUAAAGGUGUGCCUCUGCUUUCUCCUUCUUCUUCUGCUCUUUCUCUUCUUGUUCUCUCUUUAACCUUGCCCUGAGGUGCUCAGCAAUGUCCUUCUCGUCAACAUUACACAUUAUUUUCUCUUUGUCACAUUCCCGAAUAUAGACCAGCAUGUAAGCAUUUGAAUACUUAGUAAAUUUGAAGGGAGUAUUAUUAAAUCCAGGAUUUGUUUGUGGCAACUCUUCUUCUCCUCCAUACUGCUCUUCUAGAGCUCUUUUCACAUCUUCUUUAGUCACACGUUCAUCAUCAAAUUUAUACCAUUGAUCUGAAAGAGUUGGCCUUAUGAAAGCAUAAUAGUGCCCACCAUGCACACCACCACUGUGGACUAAUACACUGUGAAGUGUGUAAAGGUUUCUGACACUUCCAUCUGCCUCAGGCGACAAGUAUUUACCAUUCUCUCUAUCUAGAUCGAGUUGCAGAGGGAACUCAUACCUGUCAUUUAUCUUUACCAUAGUGUCCCGUGAAAAAUCAUAUUCAAAGCGCUUUAACUGAAGCUGCAGGACAGGGGGGAAAUCCAUGAAUAAGACACCCUUCUUAGCAUCCUG